GACGAACGCUGGCGGCGUGCUUAACACAUGCAAGUCGAACGGAAAGGCCCUGCUUUUGUGGGGUGCUCGAGUGGCGAACGGGUGAGUAACACGUGAGUAACCUGCCCUUGACUUUGGGAUAACUUCAGGAAACUGGGGCUAAUACCGGAUAGGAGCCCCUGCUGCAUGGUGGGGGUUGGAAAGUUUCGGCGGUUGGGGAUGGACGGGCGGCUUAUCAGCUUGUUGGUGGGGUAGUGGCUUACCAAGGCUUUGACGGGUAGCCGGCCUGAGAGGGUGACCGGCCACAUUGGGACUGAGAUACGGCCCAGACUCCUACGGGAGGCAGCAGUGGGGAAUAUUGCACAAUGGGCGGAAGCCUGAUGCAGCAACGCCGCGUGCGGGAUGACGGCCUUCGGGUUGUAAACCGCUUUCGCCUGUGACGAAGCGUGAGUGACGGUAAUGGGUAAAGAAGCACCGGCUAACUACGUG
rnacentral:rRNA from 1 species